CGAACCUCUACGAUUAACGACUUUGUUAAUUGUUUGCUCGUUUCACGUUGCCGUUUUGUUAAGUGUCCUCUGAUGAGGCCAAUUACUAUCAAAUCUCUAAAGAAUUUCUUUACGGUUGUUUACUAAAUUCUGAUACAGUUUGAUUAGGGAUUUUAAUUGAGUUUAUUGAUCGAACUCCAGUGUUGCUUAUAGGAAAUUACAUUUAGCCAAGAGACAGUUUCAAAAUGAUUUUGUGAUGCUGCUUUAAUUUGAUUUUACCUUUGGUUGUUGUGAAAGCGUUUGGUUGAUGGUGCACUUAAGGGUUCAUUAUUUGGAUAUGGAAACAGUGAAGGAAUACCUAGCGUUCAUCAAUCCUCAUUGGAUAGCGGUGGUCGCUACAGGGAUGUAUACCCAUCUACGUCAAAUUUGCAUAAUUGGUUUGUGUUUUGAUGAAGACACCACUCUUCCUUUUGAUCCAUCUUAUGCCUCGGUGAUUUUUGUAUUUUCUGUCCUCUGUCUUCUUGCUGAGUAUAGACUUUGGCCUAGAACUCUUAAAGAGCCACCGAUUCAACUUCUUUAUAUUUAUGAAAUGUUGGUAGCAGCUUUGAUCACGAACUUAACUACACGUGCUAUUUGGGUGCCACUUAUGCAUGCCAUCAAUUGUUUAACUCAGGAAUCAAGCAGAUGGUUAUUAUGGCUGAAUGCAACACUGGGCCUAAGUCAUUACUCUUUGCUGACUGAUUUUGCUUACUAUAUGGCAAAAGAUUGCGCCGCGAUGCACAUGGCUUUCUGUAUGUCUAUACUGUCAUUCGUCUGGAUGUUGGAUGCCACCGAAUCAUUGGACGCAAUUUUGGACACUAGGGCCAAGUAGUGAACCAGUGAUGUUUAGUUUUAGAACAAAACGGCGGAUUUUGGUCACUUUGCACAUGCAAAAGGAGAAAGAUUAGUUUUGCAAAUCCUGAAGUUACAGAUUGGUUCGUAUAUAAAUUUAUGUGCAGUGCAGACCCUGGGAAUGAAAAUAAGCAAUCAGAUUCAUAAUUCAACUUUCUGGCCACAGUAUUUCUCUUAGAAUUUACAUUGGCUUGCAUCUGGACACCUCUUGAUGUGUUAAUCUCAACCAGGCUACCCACGACUGUUUGUCACUUGCUUCAACAGUUUGGUUCCGAUGAUGCAGUAAUCUCAUUUCUCACAAGCAAAUCUUUGACAGUGAUUAUAACUUACACGGUUGCAAUCACGUUCCUUCUUCUUACACUUCAUGUUACAGAUUCGGUGGAUUAUACAAUUCUUAGGUAUCAUUUCGUUUCAUGUAAUUCCUCUUUAAUGACGAAAGGGUUAAUUACAAUUAAUUUAUUUAGAAUUAAUAUCAAGCACUUUCUCUAGGGAUUGUGGUGCAAUGCCUUUCGCUAUGGAUGUGAAAGAAAGACUAUGGGACAGAUUGCAACGAGAACUUUCAUUUUUGAAUAAAGAAACAAAAACUUGUCGUUGCAAAGUUCGUAGA